UCCGAGGUCGUCUAAUGGUAGGACUCGGGCCUUUGAAGCCCGCUAUCUUGGUUCGAAUCCAAGCCUCGGAA
rnacentral:tRNA from 1 species